rnacentral:rRNA from 1 species
AGCGGAGGAAAAGAAACCAACAGGGAUUGCCCUAGUAACGGCGAGUGAAGCGGCAACAGCUCAAAUUUGAAAUCUGGCCUUCUGGUCCGAGUUGUAAUUUGUAGAGGAUGCUUUUGGUGCGGUACCUUCCGAGUUCCCUGGAACGGGACGCCUUAGAGGGUGAGAGCCCCGUACGGUUGGAUGCCUAGCCUCUGUAAAGCUCCUUCGACGAGUCGAGUAGUUUGGGAAUGCUGCUCUAAAUGGGAGGUAAAUUUCUUCUAAAGCUAAAUACCGGCCAGAGACCGAUAGCGCACAAGUAGAGUGAUCGAAAGAUGAAAAGCACUUUGAAAAGAGGGUUAAAUAGCACGUGAAAUUGUUGAAAGGGAAGCGCUUAUGACCAGACUUUUUCCUGGCGGAUCAUCCGGUGUUCUCACCGGUGCACUUCGCUUGGUUUAGGCCAGCAUCGGUUUCCGUAGGGGGAUAAAAGCUUCGGUAAUGUGGCUCCUUCUGGAGUGUUAUAGACCGUUGUAUAAUACCCUUCUGGGGACCGAGGUUCGCGCUUCUGCAAGGAUGCUGGCAUAAUGGUCAUCAGCGACCCGUCUUGAAACACGGACCAAGGAGUCGAACAUUUGUGCGAGUGUUUGGGUGUUAAACCCUCACGCGUAAUGAAAGUGAACGGAGGUGAGAGCCUUUUAGGUGCAUCAUCGACCGAUCCUGAAGUUUACGGAUGGAUUUGAGUAAGAGCAUAACUGUUCGGACCCGAAAGAUGGUGAACUAUGCGUGGAUAGGGUGAAGCCAGAGGAAACUCUGGUGGAGGCUCGCAGCGGUUCUGACGUGCAAAUCGAUCGUCAAAUCUGCGCAUGGGGGCGAAAGACUAAUCGAACCAUUAAAACCAGCGGUAAAAUUACUUUACUAGGUGGUUAAGAGGUGACCCGAGAGGUUGCAAGAUACCUAGGUUGGGCCGGGCUACCCGGUACCUCUCAGCGG